AUACAUGCAAGUCGAACGCGUUGGCCCAAUUGAUUGAUGGUGCUUGCACCUGAUUGAUUUUGGUCGCCAACGAGUGGCGGACGGGUGAGUAACACGUAGGUAACCUGCCCAGAAGCGGGGGACAACAUUUGGAAACAGAUGCUAAUACCGCAUAACAACGUUGUUCGCAUGAACAACGCUUAAAAGAUGGCUUCUCGCUAUCACUUCUGGAUGGACCUGCGGUGCAUUAGCUUGUUGGUGGGGUAAUGGCCUACCAAGGCGAUGAUGCAUAGCCGAGUUGAGAGACUGAUCGGCCACAAUGGGACUGAGACACGGCCCAUACUCCUACGGGAGGCAGCAGUAGGGAAUCUUCCACAAUGGGCGCAAGCCUGAUGGAGCAACACCGCGUGAGUGAAGAAGGGUUUCGGCUCGUAAAGCUCUGUUGUUAAAGAAGAACACGUAUGAGAGUAACUGUUCAUACGUUGACGGUAUUUAACCAGAAAGUCACGGCUAACUACGUGCCAGCAGCCGCGGUAAUACGUAGGUGGCAAGCGUUAUCCGGAUUUAUUGGGCGUAAAGAGAGUGCAGGCGGUUUUCUAAGUCUGAUGUGAAAGCCUUCGGCUUAACCGGAGAAGUGCAUCGGAAACUGGAUAACUUGAGUGCAGAAGAGGGUAGUGGAACUCCAUGUGUAGCGGUGGAAUGCGUAGAUAUAUGGAAGAACACCAGUGGCGAAGGCGGCUACCUGGUCUGCAACUGACGCUGAGACUCGAAAGCAUGGGUAGCGAACAGGAUUAGAUACCCUGGUAGUCCAUGCCGUAAACGAUGAGUGCUAGGUGUUGGAGGGUUUCCGCCCUUCAGUGCCGGAGCUAACGCAUUAAGCACUCCGCCUGGGGAGUACGACCGCAAGGUUGAAACUCAAAGGAAUUGACGGGGGCCCGCACA
rnacentral:rRNA from 1 species